CGAAGAGUUUUGGGUUCUUAGGAUUAGGUUCAAUUCCUAUAGUUCUAG
rnacentral:tRNA from 1 species